GGGCAUGGGUAGAGAGCCCAUGAGAACCUGGUGCAGGUGGAAGGAAAGGGGACCCCACAGGGAAGGUAGAAGGGCCAGGGCUUUCCCCAGCAGUGGCCAGAUCUGAACAGAGAUGACUCUGUGUUGCUGUGGCCACUCCAGACCCCAGACCGCAGCCUGAUAUCCAAGCUCCCGAGGGAGCAGAAUGCAUCAGCCACCUCAGAGAGGAGGCGCAGCCCAGUCAGGGCCCCACGUUGUCACGGCUCCAGCUGUCCUCAGGAGGGAAACUGUCUUGCAAGCCUGGAGACUUCUGGUUGCUUCUCGGAGGAAAGCCCUGUCACCUCCUCACCACCGUCCCAUAAGACGGGACCCUGCGAGGCAGACGCAGCCUGCACACAGAGGAGGGAGGGGAGGCUGCUGGGGCUCCGGCCUGUGCUUUCGCCUCCAGACCAUGGAGCUUCUUCACCCACAUGCUGGGUGCCGUCCAGCCUGAGGCCUGUGUGCAGGGUCCCGGUUUCAAGCCCCGAUUCCCACCUGCUAACUGUGACCCAGGAAGCCCCACCCCCCGCAGCCCUCAGUUUCUUCACCUGCCAAACUCCCUGCCUUCGAGGUCCCGCUGGGGCUCAGCUGCCCAACUCUGAUCAGAAAGAAGAGCUGUAAGUCUGGCUGGGCGGUGGCUCAUGCCUCUAAUCCCAGCACUUUGGGAGGCCAAAGAGGAUGGACUGCUUGAGCCCAGGAGUUCGGGACCAGCCUGGGUAAUGUGGCGAAACCCUGUCUCUACAAAAAAUACAAAAAUUAGCCAGAUGUGGUGAUGUGCGGCUGUAGUCCCAGCUACUCAGGAGGCUGAGGUGGGAGGAUCACUUGAGGCCAGGAGGUCAAGGCUGCCAUGAGCUAAGAUCACAACACUGCAUUCCGGCCUGGGUAACAGAGCAAGACCAUGUCUCUAAGAGAGGGGGGAAAAAAAGCCAUGGGUGUCUAAGCUGCAAGGCCCCCCAAAUCCCUGAAUCCCACUAACCAUCUCCCAAGUGAGUAGAGGGAGGCCAAGAGAGGGCAAGCAGCUGUCUCAUGUCUUCCCUGAAGGAACCCUCUCAUGGGACAGCUGGACACAGCCAGGCGGGAAGGACUCUUCACCAGCCCCGUCUCCAUAGUCCCGGCUGCCAUCACUGCUGGCAUCGACACUGACCCUCCAGCUCCAGCACCAGGUCACCACCCUGCCCCUCAUCCAUCCUCCUCCUCCACGCGUGAUGAAUGAGCUUUUCUCAUUCAAUCAUUCUCAGGGGCAGCAUAGCGUGGCCAGUAGGAAGGAGGAUGCGGGAGCCAGCCUGCCUGGCUCCACCACCCACCAGCUGCUUUUAUUCCCUGCCUGCUCUAGUUCCCUGGCUGUAAAAUGGGGAUACAAAUAAUAUCUUCCUCAUCAGGUCACUGGGAGGCUUAAAUAAGCCCAUACUGUAAAGUGCUUAGAACAGGGCCUGCCACGUAGUAAGUACUCCAUAAUUGCUAUCAUUCAUCCAUUCAUUCAUUCAUUCAUUCAUUCGUGAAUUCUAUCCUGCCUGUUUCUGAAAGAGUUGAGAUGACUCACAGUGGAAAUGCAAUGAUAACAGGCCUUUAAAUUCAGAUUAAAAGAACACAAGCCUAGGCUGCAGAGGAGAGAGUGUCCCAGAAUCUGAGCCAAGCAAGCCUCACCUGAAUACAACCUCCCGGCGUCUCAUCCAAAACAUAAAGGUUGCUGGUAUCAAUUCUCCUUUUCUGAUGAAAGGAAGCAUAACAGCUUUCCAGCGGAAUAGAAGAUUUUUUUUUGGUUCAAACUUUAUGAAUGACAUUAAACAAUGCAAUGAGUAGCCUCCCCCUCACCUCACCCUGUCCGCCUUUUUAAUCAACUCCUGAGAAAUGGGGUCUGCUCUUCUUCCCAUCCCACUCCCCAUCUCCAGACCCUGCGGAAGCCUGUGGUCCUGGAGAGCCUGAGAGCCCUCAGAGCGAUACCUUCAGCUAUCCCAGGAGAAGGACACUCUUCGCUUUCAGCACCAGGGGAAAACUAGGAAAAAGCCAAGCCACUGAGUCAAUGAGGGCCUUCCCUCAGCUGCAGACAGCAAGCCCCUUCCAGGCGCUUCCCCGCAGCUACGGCAGCAAGUGCCCCAGGGGCAGGGCCGGGAAUGCUCACUGAGAAAUCCCAGAGCUGCCUGCACUUCCUCUCACCGGCUUCCCCUUCUCUCAGCAGCCACAGGCACGGGAAAGCUGCUGAUUCCCGGAGGACCACUUACACCAAGCACUGUGAGCUGAUCGAUGGCAGAGUCUCUCCAGCUCAUGAGUCUUCAGUGACUCCCCAUUGUCCAUGGAAAACAGAAGACACCUGAGGCCUUGCACAGUGGACCUUAUUCUCAUCCCUCCCUCAGGAGAAUCCUCUGCCUCGAGCCGAAGGCCGUGGGCUCUGCAGACUCCAGGCCUCUCCUUCCCAGGGCGGUCUUCCCUUUCCCUAUGCUCAAGGCACAGCCCAAGUCCCACCUCCUCCAUUGCAAGGGACACCACCCUCUGAAUUCCUGUUGGGGAAAGAGCCUAGUUUUGCAGCCAGAUAGGCCCGAGUUAGAGUCUCAGCUCAGUUCCAAUCCCAUUAGCUGGUUGCAAGUCAUUAACUUUGUCAACCUUCAGUAAAUGGAAAUCAGGCCCACACUGUAGGUGCCUGGGGGUGCUGAUGGUUGAGUGGAAUCUGUUCUUUUGACCUUCCCAGCAUCUUUCCCCUUCCCAGCAUCCUUUCCCCUUUCUUUUGGUGAUGUCGCCUGGAUUUUCUGUUGGGUAUGUGGUCCAGGGGUGGCUGACCUCACUUCCUGGUUCCAGCAUAAGAUCAUGACUGAGAGCUGGCCAAUGAGAAUAUUCCCUCGCCCCAGCCACAGAGUCAGAUUCCCGGGGAUGAACUUGUGAGUCAAAACAGGCUGGUGGGAACACACUUGGGGUGUUAGCUGGAGUUAUUGAAGCUUUCUUUCCCACUGGAGUCACUAGGUAGAUAGAAGGAAAGCUGAAGCCUUUAGCCACUGCUGUGGGUUGAAGUGUGUACCCCAAAAAGAUAUGUUCAAAUUCUAAUCCCCUGCACCUUUGGAGGUGGCCUUGUUUGGAAAAAGGGUCUUUGCAGAUGUAGGCAAGUGAAGAUGAAGCCAUCCUGGAUCAGGGUGGCUUGUGGCUUGUGUCCAAUGCCUUGUGUCCUUCUAAGAAGAGAGAAAUCGAGACACAGACACACACAGGGAAAAGGCCGAGUGAUGACAGCAGCAGAGAUGGGAGCGCGGCAGCUACAAGCUGAGGGAUGCCAAGCAUGGCUGGCACCACCCAGGAGCCUGGAGAGAGGGAGGGGACAGCCUCCUCCUUAGAGCCUCGAAACACCCUACCCACAUCCUGGCUUCAGACUUCCAGCCUGCACAACUGGGAGAGAAUCACUUUCUGCUGUGUUAAGCUACACUAGUUCAUGGUGAUUUGUUACAGCAGCUGCAGGAAAUGAACACAGACACCAAAUGGAGAUACUGUGUCUGAGAUUGAAGCCAGCACCGUGGAAUCAGAGCUGCCAGGAGGGAGACGUGGACUCUCGACCCUGUGGCCACACUUGGUUCCCCCAGCAGCUGAAGCACGAAGUCUACUGGACUUACUAGACUUUCCAGUUACCUGGACCAAUAUAUUCUCUGUUUUACUUAAGCUGUUUCGAUUGGAUUUCUGGCUAUUUCAACUGAGAGAGGCCUAACUCUCAGUUAUACAGAGACAAUGGAUGUAAAAUGCAUUGAAGGCCAGGCACAGUGGCUCGCGCCUGUAAUCCCAACACUUUGGAAAGCCAAGGCAGGAGGAUGGCUUGAGCCCAGGAGUACGAGACCAGCCUGGGAGACGUGGCAAAACGAAACCCCGUUUCUACAAAAAAAUACAUUAAACCAUUUUAAAAAGAAAAUAUAAAAUGUAUUGCAUGCUGCCUGGCCAAUGGGAGACAGUGGAGUGAAUGUAGGAAGUAGUUAGUAGAGUAAAUGGUAUUUAUU
rnacentral:lncRNA from 10 species